rnacentral:tRNA from 1 species
GGAGAGGUGUCCGAGAGGCCGAAGGAGCAUGACUGGAAAUCAUGUAUACGCAUCAGCGUAUCGCGGGUUCGAAUCCCGCUCUCUCCGCCA